UACGGAGGGUGCAAGCGUUAUCCGGAUUCACUGGGUUUAAAGGGUGCGUAGGUGGGCAGGUAAGUCAGUGGUGAAAUCUCCGGGCUUAACCCGGAAACUGCCAUUGAUACUAUCUGUCUUGAAUACCGUGGAGGUGAGCGGAAUAUGUCAUGUAGCGGUGAAAUGCUUAGAUAUGACAUAGAACACCAAUUGCGAAGGCAGCCCACUACGCGAAUAUUGACACUGAGGCACGAAAGCGUGGGGAUCAAACAGG
rnacentral:rRNA from 1 species